rnacentral:lncRNA from 1 species
GAGGAUAGAGGAUGAGGAAGAAGAUAAGGGAGAAAGGGAGAGGAGGAGAAGAUAAGGUGGAGAGAGAGAGGGGGCCGCAUGGAAAGGGACCUUUUAGUCCUGGUAGAAAACACCAACUGGACUACCCCCCGUUUAGUCCCAGUUGGUGUUUCCAACCGGGACAAAACGCCCCACUAAAUUUUUAUGCCCCCACUAACCGGUACAACCGAGACUAAAUGGGGUAUUUAGUCCCGAUUGAUAUUACUAACAGGG